ensembl:snRNA U6 U6 spliceosomal RNA
GUGCUCGCUUCAGCAGCCCAUAUACUAACAAUGGAGCAAUAAGAGGAUUAGCAGGGCCCCUGCGCAAGGAUGGCAUGCAAAUGCGUGAAGCAGUCCAUAUUUAA